CACUGUCUCCCAAUAAUCCUCAAUUUAUCUGGAUUGAAAUGUUUUUUUCUUUUUCAGAAGAGCCAUCCUGAGCCCUUCUGUGGCCCAUCUCCUAUAAUGUUCUUCCAUAGAAUAACCUUUCCUCAAAUUUUGCUUUUACUGUAAUACAUACGUAUUUAUGUGAUAUAUAAUCAUAUGUAAUGUCUUACUGCCUAUACCAGAUAUUCCUGUUCCUACAGAAACUAUAUUAGUAUAUCCAGGUAUAUAAUCCAGAAGAUUGAAAUUUUGAAAGAGCAAGACUGUUUUUCAAGUCAACUAAUAUAAAUUAAAAUUAACUCAGCAUGUUUCAUGAUUAAAUAAUUCUUUAGUAAAACAAUGUUAAUUUCAAUUUCCAAAGCUAGUAGGAGGGAAGAAGCCCUGUUGUGUCCUCCUCCCACAACAGACUUUCAAAAAAAUGCUUGGUCCUAUUUGAG
rnacentral:lncRNA from 1 species